UCUUAAAUAUUCUGUUCUGGGUUUUUUCCAGUAUUUUUUCUCUUUGCCUUUCAGUUUUUGGAGUUUGAUUGUCAUAUCCCACGCUCACAGAUUCUUUCCUUAGCUGUGUCCAGUCUACUAAUGAACUCAUCAUAAGCAUUUUUCAUUUCUGUUACAGUUUUUGAUUUUUAGCAUUUCUUUCUUAGAAUAUCCAUCUCUCUGCUUAUGUUAUUUAUCUGUUCUUGCAUGUUAUCUACUUUUUCCGUUAAAUCUCUUGGCAUAUUAAUCAUAGCUUUUAAAAAUCCCUGGUCUGAUGAUUCCAACUUUCCUGCCAUAUCUGACUCUGGUUUUGGUGUUUGUUCAGUCUCUUCAAACUUUUUUGCCUUUUAAUAUGCCUUGUAAUUUUUUGUCAAAAGGUAGACAUGAGGUACUGGGUAAAAGAAAUGGCAGUAAAUAGGCCUUUAGUAAUGUCGUGGUAAGCUGUACGGGGAGGGGAAGUGUGCUAUAAGCCUAUGAUUAGGUCUCAGUCUUUUGGUAAGCCUGUGCCCCUGAGCUGUGAAUUUCACUAGUGCCUCUCGGUCCCCUGACACUUAGUUGUGACAGGAGGCCUAGAGGAGGAUGGAGUUGGGCGUUUCUCUUCUCUCAAAUAGGUUAUGCUCUGAUAAAACCCCAGAAGGUUAGGCUGUAGAGAAAUAGUUUCUCCUGAGGACAGGCCUUAUUAAUAAGAACAGAAUGCUCUGGUGUAUUUCAAGAUAGUUCCUCUUCCCCUCCCAUGAUGGAAUUCUCUAAUAUUCUCUGAUAGUCUCUGUGAGGACCUUGAAGUAAAACUCACAAAAGUGUGGGUGCCAUUCUGUGACUGGGUCCCCCUGGAGUGUUUUACUCUCAGAGUUGUCCACACUGAGCUUCCAGCCAUUCGUCAAGUAAAGUUCAGGUUUUCCUACCCUGGCACUGGUUCUCUCAGAGAUAAUUUGCUGUGGCCACCUGGCUGUCUCUUCAAUUUUGGGGGCAGCAGUUUGUCCCAUAAACUCAUAGCUCUGAUGCAUCUAAGAAGAGCUGUUGGUUUUUCAAUUUGGUUCAGCUUUUUGCUUGUUAGAAUGGAAGGAUGACUUCUAAGCUUCUUAGAUGCUGGACCAGAAACCAGAAGUCUGCCUACUCUUAAUAACCGUUAUGCCUCAUGUUUUCCCGCUAACUAUUGAUUGACUUGAAUUCUGUUGCGUGGUGUCUUAACCUUGGUCAUCUAGGAAGCAGAGUCUGAGUUAAAGUCUCAUGUUCUAUUAUUUCAUUGCAGAGUUCAAUUCCAGGGAAUAAGAGGGAGAGAAAAGGGGAGUGAGAUAAAGACGGAAGAAGAGCCAAUAUGAAGAUGUGUCAUGAAACUGGCCACCUGGUAUUGGGCCCGAUUGACUAUCCAAUUUCAAGGGGCUCUUGAAGAUGUCAUAUAAAUGAUUACUUUUCAGAAGAGUCUAGGGGGUGUGGGUGUCAGUAAGAAUUUAUCUGCUGACUCAGUCUCUCAUUUGUCACAGUUUUACUCCAUAGUUUCUCUUUUACGCCACACUUUUGAGUUGUCCGUGUAUUGGCAAAAAAACAAAAUGAGUCCCAUGGUGUUUUAGUUUGGGUUUUCCUGAAAGCAGAGCUUGAAUAAGGGCUUCAGUUAAUUGGGGUUCAAGUAGCUUGUUUGGAAAGUGAUGCCAGAAAGCAGGAGUGAGGGAUUUGGGAGAAAAAGACAAUAAUAGGAAUGAAUUAUUGAGGUCUCUGCUGUAAGCAGUAGGGGCUCUAUUCCAUAGCAACUCCGAGAAAUAUACAGAAUGCCUCUCAAAUUAUCCAUGCAUAAGAUGGGAGGCUUGGGCAUUUACCCACUGUCUCCCAUCCCCCAUUUAUUUAGAGUUGCCCUUGUGGGCUAUAACUCUCUUCCUUUUCUGGGCAGUGCUUACAUGUAGACCAAGAGGACUUCUGGGAUUUUGGAGAAGGCUACCAGCUUGUGGAAAGCAGAGAUUUGAGAAGUCAGCAUGAGUCUGAGGUUGUGUACUGCCCACCACAGAGGUGGACCAAAGAGGUGGGCCAUGGAUUAUCGGAUGCCUCAGGGAACAGGGACCCUUGGGGCAGAUGGUCAGAGUAGUAUUUCUUUUGUGGGAUAGUGUGAGAGUGGGUCUCCAGAAUGGUGCUGACAUACUGAUUUUGACUGGCUCAUGUUGUUUAUAUAGUCAGAGCCCCUCCUAACAACAUUUGGCCAGGACUCCACACACCCUAGGGGGAGCUCUGCCUCUGUGAAGCAGAUUGGAGCCAUGCAAAAUUGACUGCAGUAGCUGUAGCUGGAACAACAAAAAAGUAACAGUGAGGGGACUUAUAGUGUCUUAUAGGAGGCAACCAAUAUCCUAGGUGAGGUGCCUUUUCAGAAAAAUUUUUUAAAGAGUAUUUUUAGAGUCUGUAUUUCUCUAUACAUGUGUAAUAACAUUUGCAAAAAUUUUGAGUGAGUCAACAUGUGGGGUGGAUUGCAAAAUGUGGCUGCAAAUUCUUUUCAUCAUGGAAUGUAUAGUCCUGCCUUUGAGAGUUGGAGUCUAUUUCUCCACCCUCUUCAUUUGGAUUGGCAGAUAACUUUUUCCUUCUAGUUUAUAGCUCUCUAGAUCAAGAGGAGUUGUACCACUGAAGCUAGUGUUGUGACUUACUUUGACCAAUAGAAUGAGACGGAAGUGAAAUUUUCCAUUCUGGGACCUGAGCAUCUAGAUGUCUUGCAGCUUCUGCCUUUACCCUCUUCAUUGAGACCACCAAGGAAGAGAGGCCAGUCCAGCCUCCUGGGGGAUGAGAGGCUAUGUGAAGGAAUCAAGGCAUCCUAGCUGAUGGCCACCACCUACUCCAAGACAUAAGCCCUGAGCUGUCAUGUAAGAAGUCCACUACCCUGAAACUGCCAUGCUGGAGAGGUCAUGUAUAGGCAAUCUGGUCAACAGUCCUUCAGCCAUCCUUGUCAAGACAUCAGAUAUGGAAGUGAACCCAUUUGCGAUCUUUCAUCUGCCAACUGAAUGCUACCAAGUGACCUUAGUCAACCCCACAUGGAAAGUGAUGCUUGUAGAAAUAUUUUCUACAGACUACUUUGCAUCAUGCUACACUGUCUUCAUAGAAUCACCAUUUUAUGUAUUCAAGACUUUACUGGGAUAGUAUCAGUUGAGAAAUGUUUUGUAUAUGAUGUGAAUUUUUUGAGGAUGGUACUCUACUUUUUUCAGGGCCAUUGAUAAUCCUUAACUUGACCUCGGGAGUUCAAAAGAAAAUAAAGGUUUGCUUUUUUAUAGAGAAACUGCACUGAGGAAAACGUGUUAUAUCCAAGUAUUAUUCUGAAUUAACAGCUAAUAAAUCAGAAAAAAAGAAAAAUGUUAACAGUAAUUUAGCAGCAAAUGGGGCAUUUGACCUGCAGCUCCCAGAUGAAUUCCCAAACUACAUGAAUAAAUUAUUUUAGGAGAUGAAAUUAUAUGGGUUAUGUAACGCUUGAUGAGAAAUUGCAGUCAUAAUCCGGGAAAUGGCUUCUACUUAGCAGGGUCACCAGUGGAGAAAGAAGUGGUCCCAGGACAUCAUUUUCCACCUUGAGAAUCUUGGCCAAAGCAGUGCCCAAGUGCUUUCUGCCCAGCUGCAAUCCAACUAGAGAAGCUGAAAUUAGCUUCAUUGCCAGAGACCUCAAAAGCCCUUUGAAUAUCCAGCACCCGAAUGGCCUCUGUGCUAUUUUCUGCGAGAUUGUGCUCCAAUCACAGCUCCUCAUCUUAGAGCUGCAGUUACGUUUCCUAGAUCUGCACAGAUGCAAGGCUUUCCCAGAACUAGGAUAAGCUGUCAACUUGUAGGGCAGCUCAGUUGCUCCCUGGAAUUUAUGCCCUAAGGGACAAGCGCUCCAUAGAGCAUUUUGAAAGCUGACAGCUUAGUGUUGGCAGCUGAAUUUUGACAUUUCAGGCUAUUAUCAAAACUCUCUCCAACAGCUGAAACUGUAGGUAUGUGACAGUUAAGCCUUCUGCGAGGCAUGUUUAUCUGGCAGGAAGAAUGCUAUCAGUUGCCUUAUUAUUCUAUUGUCCCGCACGUUUCAAUCACUUUUUGUUAAUCAACUAACACAUUGUUGAGAUAUCUAAAAAUGACAAGGCAAAUAAAGAGCCAUGGUUAGGAUUUUACCCUCAAGCCCAUGCUCAAUUUGAAGGCUUCCCGCUUCAAAAUAUUUAGUUGGAAAAAUUUACCAUUGUAAAGAAACGUGAAAAGCAAUAGGAGAAUUCACAUAUUAGGUAGUCCCUGCAGAAGCUCAGACUUAGUCCUUCCCCUACGGACUUAGGAGAUGGUAAUGAAAAGCCCUAUUUCUUUCCAAGCUUGAGCUGACACACUUGGAUAUGUGGGUAUCUGAAAACAUAUUUUAUCAAAAUAAGGAGCUUAAAGGUGAAGUUUUUUUAUACAACGUGGUCCUCUUAAUUUUCAUUCCAUUAAAUGCUGAAAAAAAAUCAAUGUCUGACAGAUGAAAAAGGGCAGAGUUAGAGGAGCUAUAUGGAGGAGAGUAUAUCAGAAAAAGAAGAGUUCGGAUUGUUUUAUAGCAAAAGGAAGAAUAAUGAUCCUGUAGCUAUGUUUACUUCCUAUACAAACUAUAUAUUUUUGUUAGUAAAGACAAAAAUGAAAUUGGAUUACUAAUGGUAAAAGAAUAUGGCUCUUUGCUUUCUAGAAAAAAAUGGUUAAAAACACAUCUCUUUACCUCCCUUGAAAAACCACACCUCACUCCCUCAUGCUAACCAUCAAGUCAACUCAGAGAGUUAAAAACUUGUCCCCGGCCCCAGUAGAACCCUCACCAAAGAAUGCAGCGGAGAGUCCUAUCUUCUGGUUAAAUACUGGAUAAGCACAAAUUGAAAUGUGUCCUUAAAGUAAUUAACCCAACCAAAUCCCCGUGGUUGCCACAAAGUGAAUGUGAAAUUGUAGAAAUCUUUGAUGUCCUCUAACUGAUUCGUGACAAGAACCGAAUAUGAUGAAAUAGCUUUGAGAUGAGUCAUGUGUGUACGCAACACCAAACAGGCAGUCUAUUCAGUAAGUUUAACUUCCUCAAAACAAUUCUCAGUGAAAAGAAAAAGGAAAUAUGUUUACUUGGACUUUCCUCAUGAGUUAAGUUUUACACAGAUGCAGAUUUUAAAUUAAUCAGUGCCCUCAUCUGAUCGGUAGGCAAAAUUGUGUGGUAGUUUUGUACUGACACUAAUAAUAAAUAACAACAACAACAGCAUCUAACAACACUUAAAAGUAUGUGUGCGAUGUGCUAGGCACGACUCUAAGCCAUAUAUUAUACACGCGCAUGCACACACACAUACUCACAUAUACAUAUGUACGUAUAUAUACAUACAUAUACAUAUGUAUAAUAUUUAAUCCUCAAAACCUCCUUGAUACUGAUAGAUGUUAUUAUUAUCCCCAUUUUGCAGAGAAGAAAAUAGAGGCUCAAAGAGCUUGAAUAAUUUGUCCAGGGUCACAAAGCGGUAAGAGUGGUAUUUAAAUCUGGACCAGCUGUUUGUAAAGCCUGUGCUAUCCAUUUAUCACUACAUUAUAGUGCCCUUUGUUUACAUGUUGAGAUAUAUUCAUUCGAAGUUUAUCUGCAGCACAAGAAUUUCAAAAUUCUAUAAGAGUUCCUUCAAAAGUGUGGUCAAUAUGGGGAAGAGGAAUAACCAUGAUAGAAGUGAUAUUUUCAAUACUUCCAUAUAAAAAUGUCUGGAGGCAGAGCCGCUAAUGGAAAAUAUUGAUUGUGAGUUUAAAAGGUGGUGAACUUCAGGACCAAUCGCAGCCAAAUUUAUAUCCCUGAAGUUUCCCUCGUAUAUUUGCAAAUUCCCCUUUCCACAUUUGAAAAGCUGGCUUUUAGAAGUGAUGAUAGAAGUCUUACCGAGUCAGCCCUAAUAACAGCUGUUGGCUCAGAUUAGCACAAGGAAAAAUUUCUCUCAGUUUCUGCUGCGCAUCUGUUAUAGUUUUUUUUUUUUUUUUGUAAUCUGUGGACAGUGGGCUAUAAGAUGGUGUACAGGAUUUUUUCCUGUAUUUAAAAUAUUUUUCUAUAUUUUCUUUUUUUUAUUACUUUGCCUCAUUUCCUGAAAGUUUUUCUGUUAAUGCACUGUAACCACUCACUUCAAGCAGACAGCAAGAAGUAAAUAAAAAUAUGAAUGCUUCCCUCAAGUAAAAUAAAGAUUUGUUUGAACUUAAAAAUAUCUUGGCUUUGUUAUUUUUAUAUACAAAGAUGAUUUUUUUCUAUAUCAUCAUGCACCUCUGAAUUUUAGAGUGCUUUGUUGCAGCUGUUAAUUGCAAUAUUAAGAUAAACUAGGUUUGAGAAGCAAGUUCUCUCUUUUUACUAAGACUUCUGUGUGUUUUGGUCAGAAAAUUAUAUAAUCUUUUCUCAUUUAUCUCAGUAGUAGUUUCAAAACAAAAUAAAGAACAAGCUAAUUGGGUGGCAAAAAUAUAAAUUAGAUUGCGUAAUUUCGUCUUUGCCAAAGGACUUUUAAUGACUGUUUUAAAGCAACUGCAUAUGUUUAUAUAAAUUCACCUCCUUACUUACAUCUCACUGUCGAGAUAGAACGGAGCUCUCCUUGGAAUUUCUGCCAAAGGAAGUGACUUGGAAUAUUAUCACCAUCAGUCUCCUCUUCAUCUCUGGCCAGGGCACCUCUCUUAGGACCGCUGCAGCUGUCCUUCCACCACACACGAGCUGUCUUGGGUCACGUGGUCAAUACAGAGAAGAGGAAUAACUACAAUAGAGCUCUCGAUUGACAGUCUCCAAACAAUCAGCCAAGGCAAGGAGGAAGAAAAUCUGCCAAAACGGUUGGGGUUAUGUAAAGAAAGCAAUUGGCUGAUUGACUUAAUCUCUCCCUUUUUUGCUGGCUGUAAUCAUGGAGACACAGAUGAAGAGAAAUUCCAGAGCCAAGUUCAUCUCUGCAGUACAUUGGAGAGGUACAAAAAGCCUGGAAAGAUACUGUGUUCUUAGUGCCCAGAAGUCCAGCAGACACAGGCUUUGUCAAAAUGGUGGAUGAAAUAAACCCCAGACACACAAUGCUCUCCAGGAAUAAUGCCUUCUAAUUUUUGGAAAAUUCAACCAGAAAACUUCCUGUGACAGAAUUCACGCCAGCUGUACACGCUCAAGCCAGUUAACCUGUUGGACUGAAUCAACCAGUCCAUUGGUAAUUAUCCUGAACCAGUUGUUUGAACUGACAGAAUGCCUGGGCAGCCAGUCACUGAGCCCAGACAAACAGUACAGUCAUGUGUCGCUUCACAAUGGGGAUACAUUCUCAGAAAUUCAUUAGGCAAUUUCAUUGUGUGAAUAUCACAGAGUGUACUGAG